AGAAUUUUUUGAUUGUUGUUUUCUUCCUUUAUAACACCUUUAACUCAAGGCUCACUGCAGCUUAGAAAUGGCACAAAAUCCACAGAAGACAUACCCAUACCCAUGCACAUGAUGAAAGUGGCUUUGCUUGACAAAAAAAAAAAAAAAAGAAAGAAAAAAAAGAAAAAAGAAAAAGAAAGAAGAAGAAAAAGAAACAAACAAAAAUUUCCUCCUUAAGAACUAGGAGUGGUCUCUUGAGACUGUUUUGCUGGAUUUGGUAGACUGCUAUGUGCAAAGAUCACAUUCUUGAGGUUGUGGUCGUGCUAAAGGGGUAAGAACAGAGGAAGAGGAAAGAUUCUGAACAAAGAAGAUUUAAGUUGACUAGCAGGGAGAAAAAUCUUCACAGAGGAGUCUGUAAAUUCAAGAGAAGUGGUGGGAGUCCUCACUGGAAUACUUGGAGAAGAACUACACAGAAUAACAGAGGCCCUUCUGUGGGGAACCAUCUCAAGUUGGCAGUUGCUCAGACAAGUCCACCCACCGGGACCAGAGGCACUUACAGGCUCCAUGGCUCUCUGAGCUUCUGAUUUCUUGAAAUACCUGGGAGAGCACUCUCAGAGAAAAAGACUCUCUUGACUUUAAGGCUAUGUUUACGAGUCAACAGUUGAGAAACAUUUUUGCUAUGAAGACCAUUUGGUGGCCCUCCAGGGACAGUUCAGCUUGUCAGAAGGUAGGUAAAUGAACAACUUAGGCAUCUUCUGAAGGAUCAGUGGGUCCAAGCUCAACCCCAGUGUCAACAGCAGCUGAAAUAACAGAAAAAGAAAGUCACAUCUUGUUAAAAUUACAAAAGAGAGAUAAGAUGCUUUUGAAAAGGCUAACCUAGGAUUAUCUUUCAACCAGGGCUAAGUCAAAUAGAAGAUAAAUUACACGUUGACAGGCAGAAUCCGAUAGUAUUUGUGCAGACCCAGAAUCCAAGCCUAUUUAAGUGAAUUGCUUUCCACGUUUGUCACGCCAGUUCACAGAGAGGAGGGGAGAGGAAUUUUGGUACCUGCCACUCCAGUCUUCCCCGAACUCUCAGCUUCCCAGCAGCUCUGGUGUGCAGGGGUGGAUCUGUGAGAUGCUUUCAGCAUUUCAAUUGAGUCUAUAAUUCUGCUGACAAGGACAAAAAAACUGUGCUGGCACUAGACCUGGAAUAAUCAGGAAUCACAUCUGCAUGAAUGUUCGUACCUUAUGGUAGAAAGAGCCCUGAACCUUGGGAAAAUCAUCUUGUCUCCCUGGGUCUCAUUUUCUCCUCAUUUUAAAAUGGCCUAGGAGCUCCCGUCGUGGCUAAGCAGCUAACGAACCCAACUAGCAUCCAUGAGGAUGUGGGUUCAGUCCCUGGCCUCGCUCAGUGGGUCAAGGAUCCAGCAUUGCCGUGAGCUGUGAUGUAGGUCGCAGUUGUGGCUUGGAUCCUGCAUUGCUGUGGCUCUGGUGUAGGCUCCUCCUAUUGGACUCUUAGCCUGGGAACUCCAUAUGCUGCAGGUACGGCCCUGAAAAAAGACAAAAUAAUAAUAAUAAUAGUAAUAAAUAAAAUGGCCUAGAUUAAAAGACUGCA
ensembl:lncRNA